rfam:Aedes albopictus isolate Foshan contig108050, whole genome shotgun sequence.
GGCUCAGUAGCUUAGUUGGUAAAGCACUUGUCUAGCGAAUAAGGGUCGUGAGUUCAAAUCUCACCUGAGCUG